AAGUUGUGUGAGCAGGGCAAAACUCGGGGAUCAUCAAACAAACUGCAACAAAUUGGGCAUGUGAGAUCUUCUUCAAGCAGCUCCAUCACAUCCUGCCACAGAGAAAGAAACAUUUAGCUCUGCAACUGCCCUGAUUAUCCUGAAGUUCACCUCCUAUGCGGGGACUGUGUACAAAGGAUGAAGAAAACGACUCCUAUCCAAAAAACCCGAGGAAAUGAGUCUUGCCCUUUUCCGUCUGAGGACUUGUGAAGCACCCGGGGAAGGAGCCGUCUCCAUGGGACGAGACCAGAAUGGAUCUGAACACUCUGUCUGAGGCCAACAACUUGGAGGUAUUGGUGAGACUACCCUGCUCAGCUGAAAUCCAUCCGGGAGAGGAUUCAGAAUCCUAUCAUUUGAAGUCUGAGGAAACAAGAUCAGUUGAGGAGUUGACAAAUGAGCAAAACAUGACCUGAGAACACAAAAGAAGGCACUGCCCAGCCACCGAACCAGAUUACCAGAAUCGUUAAGUAUAUACUUCACUGACUGAGAACAGGCAAGCUCCCAUCCCCAGACCAUCAGAUCAGGUUUCUAACCCCUAGGCCUACGAGUCCCAGCGACCAGAUAGCUACCUUUCUCUGCUCCCACCUCUCAAAAAAAA